UAAAAAUUCUUCCUUGAGGAAAUGUUUUUUAAGUCAUUUAAGUAUUUAUAAAGGCGCUAAGGAAACUAGGCAGACAAUCGCCCUCUCGCAUGGAGCUCACCUUGCAAAGAAGUCCUUAAGUGCUUCCAAAGGUUAAGAUUAAUCCUUACCACCUUGAGAAAUUAAGGAUUAAAUAAAAGCACAGUGAACCUUUUGGUUCAACAAAAUGACAAAUACAAAGGGAAAGAGGAGAGACACUUGAUAAGCGCUCUCUGGGCCUUUAAGAAAACACGGAGUUGUCCCUUUGGCCACAUAGAUGCGAAUCUACAAGAAAGGUGAUAUUGUAGACAUCAAGGAAACGGGUACUGUUCAAAAACGCAUGCCACACAGAUGUCACCAUGGCAAAACUGGAAGAGUCUACAGUGUCACCCCAGCAUGCUGUUGGCAUUGUUGUAAACAAACAAGUGAAGGGCAAGAUUCUCGCCAAGACGAUUAAUGUUUGUAUUGAGCACAUUAAGCACUCUAAGAGCCGAGACAGCUUCCUGAAAUGUGUGAAGGAAAAUGAUCAGGAAAAGAAGGACGCCAAAGAGAAAGGGACCUGGGUUCAAUGGAAGCGCCAGCCUGUGCCGCUCAGAGAAGCCCACUUUGUGAGAACCAAAAGAAAGGAGCCUGAGCUCCUGGAACCCAUUCCCUAUGAAUUCAUGGCAUAA